rnacentral:rRNA from 1 species
AUUGAACGCUGGCGGCAGGCCUAACACAUGCAAGUCGAGCGAGCGGCGGACGGGUGAGUAAUGUAUGGGGAACUGCCCGAUGGAGGGGGAUAACUACUGGAAACGGUGGCUAAUACCGCAUACUAUCGGAUGAACCCAAAUGGGAUUAGCUAGUUGGUGGGGUAAAGGCUAACCUAGGCGACGAUCUCUCGCUGGUCUGAGAGGAUGACCAGCCACACGGGGACUGAGAAACGGCCCAGACUCCUACGGUAGGAAGCAGUGGGGAAUAUUGCACAAGGGGCGCAAGCCUGAGGCAGCCAUGCCGCGUGUAUGAAGAAGGCCUUAGGGUUGUAAAGGACUUUCAGCGGGGAGGCGUUACCCGCAGAAGAAGCACCGGCUAACUCCGUGCCAGCAGCCGCGGUAAUAC